rnacentral:rRNA from 1 species
AUUGAACGCUGGCGGCAUGCCUUACACAUGCAAGUCGAACGGCAGCGCGGGAGCAAUCCUGGCGGCGAGUGGCGAACGGGUGAGUAAUACAUCGGAACGUGCCCAAUCGUGGGGGAUAACGCAGCGAAAGCUGUGCUAAUACCGCAUACGAUCUACGGAUGAAAGCAGGGGAUCGCAAGACCUUGCGCGAAUGGAGCGGCCGAUGGCAGAUUAGGUAGUUGGUGAGGUAAAGGCUCACCAAGCCUUCGAUCUGUAGCUGGUCUGAGAGGACGACCAGCCACACUGGGACUGAGACACGGCCCAGACUCCUACGGGAGGCAGCAGUGGGGAAUUUUGGACAAUGGGCGAAAGCCUGAUCCAGCCAUGCCGCGUGCAGGAUGAAGGCCUUCGGGCUGUAAACUGCUUUUGUACGGAACGAAACGGUCUUUUCUAAUAAAGAAGGCUAAUGACGGUACCGGAAGAAUAAGCACCGGCUAACUACGUG